rnacentral:rRNA from 1 species
UACGGAGGGAGCUAGCGUUGUUCGGAAUUACUGGGCGUAAAGCGCGCGUAGGCGGCUUUGUAAGUUAGAGGUGAAAGCCCGGGGCUCAACCCCGGAACUGCCUUUAAGACUGCAUCGCUUGAAUCCGGGAGAGGUGAGUGGAAUUCCGAGUGUAGAGGCGAAAUUCGUAGAUAUUCGGAAGAACACCAGUGGCGAAGGCGGCUCACUGGACCGGCAUUGACGCUGAUGUGCGAAAGCGUGGGGAGCAAACAGG